rnacentral:sRNA from 1 species
UCUUCAGGACAGGUUUUGGUGAGUGAU